UGGAUGAGGAUGAACUUGAGAU
rnacentral:misc_RNA from 1 species